GUGCAGACGGGUCUCCUGGUUGCGGAAGGCGAGGAGCAGAAAAAAGAAUUUCUGCCUCACCUGCCCAGAUUCCAAGCAUCCCCACUGUCCAUCUUUCCAAGACCAGGGGUGUGCCUGCUGUUGAAGUCUUUGCACGGAGCCUCCUGCUGAUCCUCAGAACAACAGUGACAAGAGAAGAUGGUGAC